rnacentral:rRNA from 1 species
UACAGAGGUCCCAAGCGUUGUUCGGAUUCACUGGGCGUAAAGGGUGCGUAGGUGGCCAGGUAAGUUUGGUGUGAAAGCUCGGAGCUUAACUCCGAAAAGUCAUUGAAUACUAUCUGGCUGGAGGGUCGGAGGGGAGACUGGAAUUCUCGGUGUAGCAGUGAAAUGCGUAGAUAUCGAGAGGAACACCAGUGGCGAAGGCGGCUACCUGGACUAACACUGACACUGAGGCGCGAAAGCUAGGGGAGCAAACAGG